UGCGCCACUAAUAACCUUAUAGGUGCGCCACUAGUAAUAAAGGAAGGUGCGCAACUAAUAAGGGCUUAAUGCGCCACUAGUAAUGUAUUUGGAAAACAAAAAAAAAAUCUAAAUUUACAGAAAACAACCUAUAAGGAAAAAUAAUUUAAAAACAAAAAAUGAAAUAAAAUCAUAAUUUUUAUUAUAGUAAGAAUAUUACAAUGUCUUUACAAGUUUCCAAUAAAAGGAAAAUUGCAAGGAAAUAAAAGAAAAUCCUAAAACUAAUCUUCUAGUCUUUUCUUCUUUUUCUUCACUUUAUCCCUGCAAAAUGGAACAAAAUAAACAGAAACACAAACAAACUAUUUAUAACAUGUCAAUACUGUCAUUUUUUAUGCAGAACUAGAUAUGAGCAUAUAUUUCCAGAAUUACAUGGUGUGAAAAUUGUAUGAGUAAGAUUAUAAUGGAAAUGAAUUUUGAUAGGAGCCCACUUUCGACGAGUAUUUAUCUGACAGAGCUAAAUAAUCAGGGCACUAAUCAUAUUUCCACUACAACAGUUCAGUAUUGCAAAUAUGAACAAGACUAGGAAAAAAAGAGCUAUGAAAAUUUCUAACAACAGAAUCACUUAGAAAGUUUAAUAUCACCAACUAUCAAAAUCUAUGGUUAAACUGCAGGGUGCCGGUUGAAACACACUGCAAGUGUUUGGAAAUGGUAUCAUACUGGACACUAAUCAACCUUGAGUUCGGCAUUCCUUUUCAAAAACAGUAGCUUAUACCAAUAUCUUGUGCUGGUAAGUGGCAACUACUCCCUCCGUCCCACAAUAAGAGCGUUUUCCAAACUAACAUAGCUUGAAAAACGCUCUUAUAUUAUGGGACUGAUGGAGUAGAUGACAUGUAAAGGAGCCUAGUUCAUAACCUUUAUUUAUAAGAAGAACAUAAGCUGCAUGGAUCUGCACAAGAUGUUAUGAAGGAAAAUGCACCAUAUUUAGAUACCAUGUCAUUAGCAGGCGGCUGCCCUUGGUUCCUCAUCUUCCAGAGCAAGUGAACUCUCUCAUUUUAAACUCUUGUCAUGCAAUUUGCCCUAAGCUGUGGAUCAAGACAACAUGGGAUAAGGAGAAAUUAUGAGUAAUACGAGAUGAAGGCACAUAAAAGUUAUAAGAUUGCAUGCAACACUGACAGGCAAUGCGAGAUGGCACCCUAGAGGCAGUUCAGUCCAAAACCUACUCUAAAGAUUCAUGGUUCCUAACAAAAUAGCAUAAAAAUGCUUUUCACGACACAGCUGACACCCUAUUGGCAGUUCUAGGCAAUCAACCAAACACCUUGCACGCAUGGCGGCAACACCCGUUGUCCAGCAAUCCAACAGUAGCAUCACGCUUCAGACUCUGGCCUGCUGCGCGUGGCAUGACAACAUAGAACUAGCCGCGCCGCCGGCGAGAUGGACUGGGAAUGGAACAAAGUCAACGAACCUCCUCUCUCCAGUCCGGGCGGCGGGAUUUGUUGGGAACCCUUCGGGGGCGAGCCGAAUCCAUCGUGGCGGCUGGCCGCCCCGAUCGCCGGGAGACGAGGCUCCCGCCGGGUCCGGCCCUUCGCCUCUGCUCUCUCUUGGUCUCACCGGCGUGGAGAGCGAAGGCUUGGGG
rnacentral:lncRNA from 1 species